GCAUCUUGGGGGUCGUUUUGAUUGGUUUGUUUCCGGUGGUUGGCUCUCUGCUUGUGCAACAACUUCCACCUGGCAUACCUUUUCAGUUACACCUCAAGGUUUUAUUGCCUUGGGUGCGUUGUGGUUUACUGUGCUGUAUACCUAUGUGAUGGUAUUGUGUGGAUUCAUUAAUCCCAUUCGUCUUUCGUCAUACUCGUGGCGUAGGAUGAACCUUGAAACGAUCUCUUUAGUCUACCUUCAUGGCGCAUAACGUUCAUAUUGUGGCCUAUUGAGCAUUGCUUGGUUUCAUGGAUACGGAACAUGAUGUGGGCAUAUGGGGUCUUACAUGAUCCUUGUUUUGUCCUAGUUGAACGUUAUUAUAUCUCUAAGAUGAUUACCUGCCCGAAUUGGCUCGUACCACCGGGUGGGAUAUGUUGUCAAAGAGAGAUCAUAGCGUUCUUGCUUCUUAAAAACGACCAUCUAUCCUGUUGGCUUGUACCGGCGGGUAGGUGAUGUCGAAUAAGGAUGCUACCUGGUUGAUCCUGCCAGUAGUCAUAUGCUUGUCUCAA
rnacentral:misc_RNA from 1 species